UAAGGUUUUAAGUUAAUUUAAACUAGUAAUCUUCAAAAUUAAAAAUAAAAAAAAUUUUUUUAAACCUUAA
rnacentral:tRNA from 1 species